rnacentral:rRNA from 1 species
UACGGGGGGGGCAAGCGUUGUUCGGAAUUACUGGGCGUAAAGGGCUCGUAGGCGGCCCGCUAAGUCGAACGUGAAAUCCCCAGGCUUAACCUGGGAACUGCGUCCGAUACUGGCAGGCUUGAAUCCGGGAGAGGGAUGUGGAAUUCCAGGUGUAGCGGUGAAAUGCGUAGAUAUCUGGAGGAACACCGGUGGCGAAGGCGGCAUUCUGGACCGACAUUGACGCUGAGGAGCGAAAGCCAGGGGAGCAAACGGG